rnacentral:rRNA from 1 species
CCUACGGGUGGCAGCAGUGGGGAAUAUUGGACAAUGGGGGCAACCCUGAUCCAGCCAUGCCGCGUGUGUGAAGAAGGCCCUCGGGUUGUAAAGCACUUUCAGUGAGGAAGAACGCCUGGUGGUUAAUACCCAUCAGGAAAGACAUCACUCACAGAAGAAGCACCGGCUAACUCCGUGCCAGCAGCCGCGGUAAUACGGAGGGUGCGAGCGUUAAUCGGAAUUACUGGGCGUAAAGCGCGCGUAGGUGGCUUGAUAAGCCGGUUGUGAAAGCCCCGGGCUCAACCUGGGAACGGCAUCCGGAACUGUCAAGCUAGAGUGCAGGAGAGGAAGGUAGAAUUCCCGGUGUAGCGGUGAAAUGCGUAGAGAUCGGGAGGAAUACCAGUGGCGAAGGCGGCCUUCUGGACUGACACUGACACUGAGGUGCGAAAGCGUGGGUAGCAAACAGGAUUAGCUACCCUUGUAGUC